rnacentral:lncRNA from 1 species
UCAAUUCCUGAUGAUCUGCAAGUCCUUGGAGGCUUCUUCGUGCUGUCCUGAGAUCGCUCAGAGUGUGUGCCCAGCAAAAGGACGGUCCGUUGACGUUUCCUUCAGUGAAAUAUCAGCUCAGUCCGUGCUGUGAAUACCACGGAAUCAACAGUGUUUGCCUUGAGUUGCUGAGAGUGUCGAUGGUCCAGGUGAGGAGCAGGGUUCAUCACCUUGGGUCAGCUGAAUCAGCUCCUUCAGUCGACUCUUCUGAUCACCCUGAUAUCCAUCAGGGGUUGCUGACAGCACCACGGGUGCAUCCCAGUUAAUCAGUAGAGACAGUUCCUCCACCACACUGUCCUCCUGCUUCUCCAUUUUAGCCAGUCUUUCUAGAUAUCUAGAUAUCCAGGAUAUCUAGAUUGACAGGCCCCGUCUGUCCUUUGUCUUACACUGCAGACUCCCAAGGCUUCACAGUGAUGAGGGCUACAAAGGAUUCUGUUAAGCUCUUUGGUGACUCCUCCACAGUUUCAUCUUCCAUCUCCCCUUUCUUUCUUAAUAAAAAAGGCACGAUUCAUUGCAUCCUGUAUCCUUUUUUGCGUACACUGCAACAAGCAUGGAACAGUAAUUAAAGCACAGAGAAAGGCAAUGUGACAAACUGACCCUAUUAGAUGCAAAUUCUGAAUGCAUUCAGCAAAACCCCCAAAGAGAUCCCCACAUACAUUCACAGGUUUCUUUUUUUAGCUUUCCAUCCUCCCUUAGAUCUUUCCCCUAUUACCACAGAAUAAACUUACAGCAGCAAUUAUAUUAAUAACAAUAUCACUCAGUCAAGGCCUCGAUUGGUAACACAAAGAAAACACAAGAAAAGAGUUACAGAGAAGGUCACGAUGCUUUCAGUCGAUGUAUACACACUCACACCGCAUCUCUUUCAGACAGUGCCACGAGUGGGAAAGGAACCUUCCUAAGCUGAUGGGUUAUGACUGAUUGCCCCCUGCGAGACGGCCAUCCGCCCAAAGGAGAGCAGAGAGGAGGAACUCGCCGGCGGUGGAUGCGACAGGCAGUGCCAGCAGGGCGUCCCCUGCUUCAAAGGGCACUUUGCCUCUCUCACCCACCGCAGCCCCUCUCCUGCUUUGACCCUGAGAAGGGUCUGCUUGCAAAACAGAACACACCACCGAGAUUGGACCCCUCUACAAAGCAAAACUCUCACAGACAGUAUGUUCAGCCCCAGUCACUGACUCCCGUGGUUUCUUGCUUGACCCCUAGCUCCAUUUCUUGUGUUUAGUUGCUAAGCUUUCUCUUGCUGGCCAGCAGCUCCUCCUUGUAUUGCUCCAGAAAUCACCUACAGGUGGUAAUUCUUGAUGCAGCACACAGGGAGAGGCACACGUAUCCACCAGAAUGCAACCCUCUGUACCCUGCACCCCCAGCUGCAACGUAACCAAUUCAAUCCUAUCCGUGGGGCUGCUGUGGUCAAACUUCCCAUGUUCUGUCAUUCAGCUUUGGCCAUCAGAGAUGGUUCCCUUCCCCCUCACUUUGGCACACCUCCACCACUGCCCCAUUUCCCUGCUGUGUGCGCACUGCAUUCGGUCCACUGGGGACAAAACUGUCCCCGGGCCCUUCCAGGUCCUGCUCUUGUGCAGCUGCUGCUGUUCUCCGCACUUUCUCCCUAUCCUUACCAUCCCUGUUUCUAUAUACUCUCCAAGCCCUCUCCAUUAAUGUUUCCACGUCCCUUACUUGGCUUCCACCAUUCUGUGUAUCGCUGGGAGAACAUAAAGACAAUCUUGCUCUGCUUAGCCAAAGACCUUGGGAGGUGUAAACAAGACCUGCAGACAUGGAGAGAGAAGGAAAGAUGUGGACAGGCAGAUUGUAACAGUCUGUGCCAGACAGACCCUCUGGACAUAAUCCCGAGACGUCCAGCCUGUACCCCUGGAUGGCUGUGAGCAGAUGCUAUGAAGGCCAUUGGAAAGCCCCACCGAACCUGAGGAGGCUGACGGGGAACCAGGGGUCCAGGUGUGACAAAGGAGCAGAAGGCAGAUUGCCAAAUGGGGGAAGACCACAUUGAUGACAUAUGGAACCCAUACAAAGGAACCCCCUGUUUAUCUUUUGACGCCGUCUGUCCUUUGUCUUACACUCCAGACUCCCAAGGCUUCACAGUGAUGGGGUCUAUCAAGGAGUUUUUUAAGCUCUAUGAUCUAAGCUCACAGAUACAUUUUUGCCCAAAGCCUUUCUUGGUGGAUGAAGAAGUGAGCAUGUGCCAGCAGUAUGCCCUUGCAGCUCAGAAAGCAAAGGAUAUCCUGUGCUCCGUCAGAAGAGGGGUGGCAGCAGGCACAGGGUGUUGAUUGUGCCUCUCUACUCUGCCCUCGUGGAGCCCCAUCUGCAGUACUGUGUCCAGGUCUGGGACCCCAAUACAUGAAAGACAGGGAGCUGUUGGAGAGGGUCCAGAGGAGGGCCACAAAGAUGAUCAGAGGAAAUGAGCACCUCCCCUAUGAGGACAGGCUGAGGGAGGUGGGCUUGUCCACCGUGGAGAAGAGAAAGCUGCACAGUGACCUCAGUGCAGCCUUCCAUUAGCUAAAAGGAGACUACAAACAGGAGGGGAGUCAACUUUUUACAAGGGAUGAUGGUGGCAGGACAAGUGGAAAGUGUUUGAAGUUGAUGGAGGAAAGAUUUAAGUUGGAUACUGGGGAAGUUCUUUAUUGAGAUACUGGUGAGGUGCUGGAACAGCUGCCCAGAGAGGCUGUGGAUGCCCCGUCCAUCCCUGGAGGAGUUCAGGGCCAGGUUGGAUGGGGCCCCGGGCAGCCUGGUCUAGUCUUAUAUAUAGAGGUUGAAAGCCCUGCAUCCAGCAGGGUGGUUUGAGCUUGAUGAUCCUUGAGGUCUCUUUCCACUCAAGCCAUUCCAGGAGUCUGUGUUUUUAUGAGUACUUCCUGCACAUCAGGGAGGAUGAAAGCAAACCUAUGGC